rnacentral:rRNA from 1 species
GACGAACGCUGGCGGCGUGCUUAACACAUGCAAGUCGAACGGUAAGGCCCCAGCUUUUUGUGUUACACGAGUGGCUAACGGGUGAGUAACACGUGGGUGACCUGCCCCGCACUUCGGGAUAAUCCUGGGAAACUGGGUCUACUACCGGAUACUACCGCACCGUGAGGGUGUGGUGGAAAGUUUUUCGGUGUGGGAUGGGCCCGCGGCCUAUCAGCUUGUUGGUGGGGUAAUGGUCUACCAAGGCGGCGACGGGUAUCCGGCCUGAGAGGGUGGACGGCCACAUUGGGACUGAGACACGGACCAGACUCCUACGGGAGGCAGAAGUGGGGAAUAUUGCACAAUGGGCGGAAGCCUGAUGCAGCGACGCCGCGUGGGGGAUGACGGCUUUCGGGUUGUAAACUGCUUUCACCAACGACGAAGGUUUACUGACGGUAGAUGGAGAAGAAGCACCGGCUAACUACGUG